UCGCCGCUUCUCCUCCGUCGUCCACUGCCGCCGUCGACUCCUCCGUUCGAUGGCGCUAGUCUCGGCGUUCUCUCCUCCUCUGCUCUUCCUCUAUUCCUUUCUCCUCUUUGCUUCUUUUUUGAAUUUCUUUUCUCCUCUUUUUCUCCUAAUUCGGCACCCCCCUAAAAUCGAGGACACCGCCGCCGUGCUCGUCCUCGACUCCUCUCUGCACUCGGUGGCCGACGAUUCAAAGGUAAAUGUUUUUCCCUCCUCAAAACUUGGUUCUUGGCUGCUACUUGUUGUUGAUUUUGAUUUUUUUUGAGUUCUUGUUGGUUGUUUCUUGAUUGGCUCCUAGAUGGGACGGUGGUGGUUGUGUCUCAGUAGUGGUGGCGCAACGAUGGCGAUGAGUGUGGGAUCGGCGAC
rnacentral:lncRNA from 1 species